AUCAGCUACAUCAGUCAUUGAACGCACGAGUCUUAAACUGGUUUUAACAUAUAUUUUUAUUACAUGAUAUGAUUAUAAGAACUUUAAAUCAUGAUUAUUGAAUCCAUGAUUUUAAGAGAAAUAUCCUAAGAUCUUAAGAUUUUUAAAGUUUAAAAUAUAGUAACAGAGGGUAUUUAUAUAUCAUGAAAUAUAAUUUAUCGUAUUAUAAUAAUUAUGAUUUCAAUAAAUUUGGAACAAAAACAACUAUUUAAUAAAAAAAAUAAUUAUUACUUCAACUUAAAUUCAGUUUAGUUCAGCUCUCAAUUUUCUUCUCUUAUCCAAAAAUACUUUCAGUUGUAUUCAGUUCAAUUCAGUUCAGGUGUUUUGAGCAAACGUACAGAGGGCUUGAGAGACACGUAUUUCCUACACUGAGGUGUUAAAAAAUUGAAAAAAUUGAAAAUUGGAAAAUUGAAACCAAAAACUCACGUGAACCUUAAUUAAGAUAAUUUGUGACAUAAAGAAGUAAAAAGUAAUAAAAUAAUCCAUCCCCUCAAAAAAAAAAAAUUUAAAAUAAUCCAUUGAAUUUUUUUAAAAAAAGAAAAAAAAAAUGAAAUUCCGUCCUUGCGCAGGACCCGUUCCUUCAGUAAUUAGGAAUCCAUCUUAUUCCCCUAUCUUCUUCCCAUAUCUCGCACAAAAAAACAAAAAUUCAAUCGCGAAAAAUCUGCUAUGCAAUUUCAAAGAAUCAUUCAGAUCUUCCAAAAAAAGGAGGGAAUUAUUAACGAGAAAUUUGAAGUGAAAUUAAGUCAAAAAUCUUCACUAUUUCCCUCAUUAUUAUUUUGGCGAGUGUUUACAAUUCAUUGAAACUGAUUUCAAAGAAGGAGUUUGCAACUCCCUGAAUUGCACCGACUUAAUAUUCAGGUGUUGGACCUGCUAUGGCAGUGGGCUUAUGCUGCUGGUACUAUUUUGCAGCCCCUUGCUGUGGCUCUACUAAUCUAGGUGGUGAUAACAACCGAGGAUGCCAUUUGUGCCUAAAACUUGCAUUUGGUUAGCUGUGUUCCCGAAUUUACAGUGUCCCUGAUGCAGACGUUACCAAGAAGAGUGUACUAAAACAUAGCUGAAGACACUUCUGAUGCUUUUAAUAGUGUACUAGAAUCCUCUUAUUCGGCUGCUCUUACCAUCAUAGUAUCUUGCAAAGUUUAUCUCAGUGGUUGGGCUUUUCAAUUAGACAGGGAACUAUCACCCAAGUUUUCAUAUGGGUCAAUAGGAGGCAGGGACUAUCCCUCUUCUAGAAGCAAUUUGCUUAUGCUGACAUUGCUGGUCUAUCAGAUCUGGUAUAUGAGGAACCAAUUUGUUUAGAAGUCAGUUGUCCCUGAUGUUGAUCAGUUUGUUAAGCAGAUCAAAGACUUUGUAACGGCUACAAUUUCUAGCUGCAACUUGGGUAAAUGUAAGCGAGUAUAUGUGUUGGUCAACCUAAGGUUCCGUGGGCAUAGUAUAUGUUUGGAAUAGGUUAUCUCAACCUAAGCACAGAUUAUAUGGUUGGCUGGUCAUGCACCAGAAGCUGAAGACUAAGGAUAGAUUGUACAGAAUAGCAUUAUGUGCUGAUGAUAGGUGCUUGCUUUGUAAUACUGCAGCUGAACACAUGAGCACUUAUUUUUCAACUGCUCUUUUAGUUAGAGAUGUGAUGCAGGAGCUUACUAGUUGAAUUCUGAGUUUUAAGCUCAGAGUAGGUUGUAUGAUUGUUGUUUGUUUUUGAGCUAUAAUAUAUAUAUCUAUUGCUAAUUUGCAACUAA